GCCCGAUAGCCGAGUGGUUAGAGCAUUGAUCUCCCAUACCAAGGCCCGAAGUUCGAAUCUUUGGACA